UUGAGUUCCAAAUUCCCUCCCUCUCCUCUGUCCCCUCCCCCUCUAAUUGAGAAGGCAAGCAAUUAGAUACAGGUUUUACAUGUGCAGCCAUGCAAGACGUACUUCCAUAUUAGUUACAUUGUGAAAGAAAACACAAAAAACCCCCGAGAAAAAUAAAGAAAAAGUCUGCUUCAGUUUGCCUUCCGUCUCCAUCAGGUCUUUCUUGGCAGGUGGAGAGCAAUUUUCAUCAUGAGUCCUUUGGGGUGGUCUUGGGUCACUGUAUUGCUGACAAUAGCCAAGUCAUUCACAGCUGGUCAUCUUCUAUUAUUGCUGGUACUGUCUCCAAUUACAUUUCAGUCUGGUUCAGCCACUUUCAGGAGUGUUGUGUGCCCCAAGUGUACCUGUGACUGAGUGUUUAACACCUGGGUUGGACCACUUGCUUUAGGAGUGAUUCUAAGGCUGAGCUAAGUCACUACAUUGACAAAGCUCCUACUCCCACCAGGAAAGGCUCUGGAAGAUGGUGACAAGGGUGAGGGGACCCACAACAGGGGAGUGGCAAGGAAAAUGAAGAGGAGCAGAGGAAGGCCAAUGGAGAGCAGAGACCAGAAGAGAGCUGCUGGCCAGGGGACAUCAAAAGGGGCCCCUGAGCAAAGAAUCCUUCACCGGGGCCCCCAGGGCAAUCCUGUCAGUACUGGAAGAUUUCAUGGACUUCUGCGGAGGUUGGACCAUUUGGCUUUCCACCGGCUCUAGGGUUCCAUAUGGAAGGACAAAGAAGGUGUUUCUCAGGCGAUUGGUUUCCUUCCGUAUGUCUCCCACUCUAUUCUGCCAAGACAAGAGCCUGGUUGUGACUUCCCUCCCAUGCAUCAUGCCCAUCUCCUUGUGGAAUGGAGGGAAGCCCCCUCACUCCUCUUCAAAGUCAGACACAAGCUGAGUGUGCAUGGGGUGCCUCAGUGAAAUUCCUGCUGGACUCUGAAACUCACUCAUUGUUCCCUCUGGGAUCUUUCAGGGGCUAGUUUUCUGUGAGCAUUUUUUUUUUUAUCCAGAAGUGAAUUGUGACUGGGAAACUGUCAUUUGUUUCCAUCAUUUCCCCUGCUCAGUUGCUAGUCUUUAGGAAGCUAAUGAAAAGUGCGCACGACACAAUUUCAGCAGAAAAGAAAGCUCAGGUGCCCGGCGUUUCUCGAGCUUGCUCUCAGAGUUAGGUAGCUUGUUACAGGGUCAUUGGGUUUGUCUUCAGAUCAUAAUUCUGCUUUGUACUUUUUUGUUAACUUGUGUGUGUGUGAACAUGCAUUUACAGUUGUAAGAACUGGGAAAAUGGGUAUUCCAGCUUUGAGGUUUAUAACAGAUGAGAACUGUAUUUUUUUUUUGCCUUUAAAUUCAUUAAUGACAUGAAUAAAUGAGCUUAUCUUUACAUAUCAAAAAAAAAACCAGUCAGAUGAUGAGAGAUGUUAGAUUAAUGUUCCAAAACCUCACUCUGCCAGGAAUGAGAAGCUCAGGCUGGUCAAUCUCUUUCCAACGAUCUGGAACCAGUAGAAACCCAUAAAAGACUGAGUUAUUACUGAGAAUAACUCUUGAAAUAUUCCUUCUGAGUUCCAGGCUUCACUGCCCCAAAGGUUUGGAAUUCAGGAGACCACAUAGUUUGUCUGGGGUUUUGAGAUUGGGCCGACCCAAACCCAAGGACUUGCAAACCUUCAGGAGGUCAAGGGGGCCAGACAUGGCAUUGACCUUACGGCUGUUAGCCUGCCCUGGUCAGUUCUGUGGGUUUGGGGCUUGCCCCGGUUUGGGUCCAGUGAGGGCUCUGUUCCCUGGCUUUUAGCUGUGCCCCUAGUUAUGGCCAGCUGCCUCCGAGGAGGAUGAAAAGAGAGAGGCUUUUGGGUGGGGAGGGCACAGCCAGGGUGGCCUGGGGCUGUCACUGAAGGCUUCAGUAGGUUAUCUGCAGAGCUCCAAGGGAACAGCCACAAUGGAGGCUGCUGGUCCCCUGCAGCCUGAGCCUGAGAUGGGAGGAAAUUACAGAGUAUUAAAAUGGGGAAUGUUAUCAGGCUCCAGGUUAUGCAAGAUGCCAUCAGGAGCACUGGGAACAGAGGGCUGUGAACUCUGUAAGAGCAGAGCCCGAAGAGCCCAUUCUGAGUCUUCAUUUCUGCACCCCACGCUGCAGCCCUCAAGGGGGUCAGCUUCUCCCAGGCUCCUGCCUGCUUCCCCGGGAGGGGGAUGGAGGAGUCUUGGAGAGGGCACUUACUCUGAGGCGAAGCCCCCAGAGGGGCUCGGGUGCUUGGAGACUGGGUUGGCCACUGGGGCCUUGGUCAGCUGGCCUUUCUGACUCUGACCUUCGCUGGGGAGUAUUUUGGCUCUGGAAGGAUCCCCCAAAGCUUUGUUGCUCCCGGAUGUGGAGCCAGGGGUGCAUGGAUCAUAAAAUGCUCUUCUUGAGGUGUAGGGGGGUUGUUUGGGGGACAGAGAUGGGCCCAAGGCAGCCCCCUCUCACUGGCGUGAGGAUGUUGAGCUGGUAGGGACAUAACCCCUAGAAAUGGUACCUGCUUCUUCGUGGCAGACAGCAAGAUGGAUCAUGUUAGUGAUCUCCACGUCUGCUGAACCCGGCUGCUCCCAUGGGGAGGCAGAUGGUGAGGUGAGAAGGCCUCCCACUGAGGCGGGUAGCAUCUGGGCAGUGGCCAGAGGGCAGGACUCAGAGCAAAGAAUCCCCUCUGUGACCAUUUGCAUAUCCCUCUCCCUCUCUGAGACUCACCUUCCUCUUCUUUAUAAUGGGGCUAGCCAGACCUGUGUACCUGCCUCAGGCAACGUCUACAAAGUGUGAUCCGUAGACCAGGCCUGCGCAAUAGAGGCCCGCAGGCCGCUUUCGGCCCUGGGGCCAUUCGUGGCAUGCCAAAGGAUUUCAGGCUGCCAGCCAAAAAUGUGGAGGAAAACAUCCUUUGUAUAUAGAGGCCACUGCAAGUGUGCAGGCCAGCUAUGGACCAAGAAAUAGCAGUGAUCGUUACUGAAAUGCCCCGGUCUUGAGGGCUGAAAGUCUGAGUUUGACGCGACCUCGUACUCUGGCCUUCCACUCCACAAGUGCCUUGUCCUCCUCAGCCCUGAGUCCAGGGAAUCAAGGAAGGCCUCUGGGCCCCACAGACUCAGCUUAUCAAGUUUCAGCAAACUCAAUGACAUUUACAUACACGUGUUUGAAGGGGCAUCUCUUUUGUAAUGCAAAUCCAGAAUUGGAAGGAUCCUGAGCUCCCGUCUCUUCUAAGCCCCUCUUUCAGUCCUUGCCUAGAUCUCCCUGGUGAGCGCACCCCCUUCACUGAUGCACACUGUGAUCGCUCCGUGCCUCCUCCCCUUGGGAGUCAGGAGGACCCAUCAGCCCUUCACUCAGUGGUGGGAGGCCUGUCCCAGAUACUCCCCAUGCUUCCUGACUUCAUCUGAAGCCCCAGGGCUGCCUGCUAGCUGUGGGUCUUCACCCUUCAUCUAAGACCAGCUCAGAUCCUUUGAUGAUGUAUCUGCUGGACAAUGAUUGAGCGGAAUGCUGGAGAUGUUGGUGAUCCUGAGUGGCAGCGGUGAGACAAAGGAGCAGAGACACUGGUCACAUUUUGAUUGUGUCAUUUCCCGGCUGCUGAGGCACAAUGACAACAUCACAAAGGGGAGUGAGGAAGCAUAGAGAACACAAAGGAGAGUGGGAGGUGCCCGACCCGAUGUGGCGGUUUGGAAACAAUUUGAUGACAGGAGCACAUCGCUCUUCAUCAGAAGUGGUCAGAGUUUGGCGUGAUCCCUGCAUGAACUCAGCGAUUGUUAUGUGCAUAAUCACGACAGUUCUGAAAUGCUGCGGAAACAAACUUUUCAUGCUUCAAAUGUGUGUAAGCUUGUUGUCACAGAGGAAAUAUAUGUUUGUCACCUGA